CCCGCGGGCCGCCGCCUCCCCCGCCACCGUUCCCGGCGCAGUGGAGCCCAGACCCCCCGCCGCCGCCUCCAUUCCGGUGCGGGGCUGAGGGGUGAAUCCCUUCCCCGUCCUCGUCCGCCAUCUUGCGACACAAGAGAAUUCUUUGAAAACAUGCGAUUGGUGUUUUUGGCUACCUACCAGGAUAUAAACUUGACGGUGCUGGGUGCCUGAUGACAGCAAGUGAAGAUGUAGAACUCUCAGCUCCUCCAGCACCAUGCCUUCCUGGACACUGCCAUGCUCCCACCUUGAUGAUAAUGGACUAAACCUCUGAACCUGUAAGCCAGCCCCAAUUAAAUAUUGUCCUUUAUAAAACUUGCAUUGGUCAUGGUGUCCGUUCACAGCAAUAAGACCCUAAGACAUUAUUCAUAUAUAUAAAUACAUAUACUCAUAUACAUAAAUAAAUAUAAAUAAGUAUACACUGAAUGAGGCUAAUAGGGUCAGCCAGUUGGUGGACCACUUGCCUAACAUGCAGGAAUCCCUGCUUAAUCCCUAGUAGCAAAUACAUAAGAUGUGGUGACACACUCCUAACACUCAGAACAUAGAGGCCCUAGGAAAAAUCAGAAGUUCAAGGUCAUCAUCCUCAGCUAUAUAUCAACUUCAAGGGGAGCCCAGGCUAUAAGAGACUCUUUUUCAAUAUAUAUUUUUCCAGUACACACACACACAUAAAUAUAUAUAUACACAUGUGCAUACACAUAGAUGAAUGCACACUCUAUUCUAAGCUUUCCAACAAUGGUGAGGGAUAAAUGCAGAGAUCGAUGAGGUAGUCAAACUGCACCUGUCCUCCUUGUGGCACCUCCGCUCCUCAGGGUCCAUUUCCACUCACACACCUAGGAAAUAACUCUUUUGUGACUGUAAGUCAUUGUGGUAUUGUUCAUAUUCACAGUAGUUUGGACUAAUAACAGUCGUUGGGUAAAAUACGAUACAUUCACAGUGGAAAACCGAAUCACUUUUUAAAAAACAGCUAAAAAGCUCUUUGUGGUGUGACACGGAAUGAGCUCACAGAGACCAUGCGCAGUGAAGCAAGAAUAGGACAGAACACACACGUAAUGUCAUCAGUGUACAAAUGAGGGAAGCAGGGGCUGGGGAUUUAGCUCAGUGGUAGAGCACUUACCUAGGAAGCACAAGGCCCUGGGUUGUCCCCAGCUCCGGAAAAAAAAAAAAAAAAAAAAAAAAAAAACAAAUGAGGGAAGCAUAUGACUCUGUGUCUUUAGAAAUACACGAAACUGGGCUGGAGAGAUGGCUCAGUGGUUAAGAACACCCGACUGUUCUUCCAGAGGUCAUGAGUUCAAUUCCCAGCAACCACAUGGUGGCUCACAACCAUCUGUAAAGAGAUCCGAUGCCCUCUUCUGGUGUAUCUGAAGACAGCUACAGUGUACUUAUAUAUAAUAAAUAAAAUAAAUCUUUAAAAAAAAAAAAAAAAGAAAUACACGAAACUGAUAGCAUAGAUUGCUGUAACGAAGGGAGUCUGGACAGCUGCGCUGGGGACAGGAGUAGGAGAGAGGCCUUUCUCAUUAUUUCUUUUCUUUAACUCUUCCUUCCAAACUUUCAGUCGAAUGAAACCCAAUAAGGCUCAAUGGUCCGAUGUUUGCCUAGAAUGCAAGAAGUCCUAGGUUUCAGCUCUCACACCACCUAGGAUGCCAGCGCUGGGCAGGUAGACGUAGGGGGAUCUGAGGUUCAAGGUAGUCUAGGCUGCUAAGCAAGUUCAAGGCCAGUCUGGCUUAGGGACCCUGACUUAUAAAAGAAACCUAAUUAAUUAGCUAAUUAAAUGAGCCAGCAGUGGGGACUUACACCUGUAAUCCUAGCACUUGGAAGGGUGAGGCAGGAGGAUCAUCACAAGUCCAGAGUGAGGUCUUCCCUCAAAAAGACAAUUUUAGAAAAGAUUAAACUGAAAGACAGGGUCAGUAUAUCAUAAGAAUUAGAAAAUAAGGGCCCAGGGGAUGGAUCCAUGGGUAAAGGUGCCCACAGUCAGGCCAGCCAGGGCCACAGAGGUGGCUCUGAGGGUAAAAGUGUCAGCCAGUUCUCUCCUGGGACCUCAGUUCUCUCACUGGGACACCAAGGGAACCAACACCAUAAGAUGUCCCCUGACUGAGACACACACAGGAGUAAAUCUAAUCUAAAAAUAUGGCUAGCCACGAAGUGGUGGCACAUGAUUUUAAUCCCAGCACUUGGGCGACAGAGGCAGGCAGAUCUCUAAGUUUGAGGCCAGCCUGAUUUACAGAGUGAGUUCCAGGACAGCCAGGGCUACACAGAGAAACUUUGCCUCAAAACAAAUAAAACAAAACAAAACAAAACAAAAAAAAUACGUGCAUGUGCAUGUGUGUGUGAGAGAGAGAGAGAGAGAGAGUGUGUGUGUGUGUAUGUGAGUGUAUGUGUGAGUGUGUAUGUGAAAAUAAGUUGCUAAGCCCAUGCAGUGGUUCAUACAGAUAAUCCUAACACUGGAGAACUAGAUACAGGAGUUCAAGGCCAGCCUCACUGAGUUACAUACUGAGAUCAGGGCCAGCCUGGGCUACAUGAAAUGUCCUAAAAGCUUAUAGUCUAGCAGUCAGGAUAGCAAAAGACAAAACAAUACUAAACAUUAAAUCUCAAUGAGAGAUGUGACAGACGCCUUCAAGCAUCUGGAAGUGAGGACAUAGGGAGAUGUGCUUCACAUCAGAGAACGAUGGCGGGGGAUGUUGAGGUCUGAAAGAAUAUCAGUGUAGUGUCGGGAGCGCUGCUCAGUAGGACUGCUGCAGAGGGAACAUGGCUGGAAGACAGGAGAGUUAGAACUUGGGAGGCUCCAGUUACUGGGCAUUCUUUGUGCCCCGGAACUGGAAUUUCAUUCCUAAGAAUUUAGGGGUCUUUGAACGGAUUAACCGCAUUAUCAAACUUGCACUUCAGAAAAGUUCAUGCUGCAGGAUGUGUGGAGAAUGAAUGGAGAUAGAUAAUUAAGAAGCAGUUGCAGUGAUUCGGAAGAAUUAAUGGGACUCAAACUAGGGCCAUAGCAGAGGGGAUACAAGGUGUGGGAGAGGAGAGUCUUGGAGCCUGGGAGGAUCUCAGGUGCUGUGGCACAGGGAGGAAGUGAUGGUACACAGUCCCCCAAGCACAAGAAGGACGAGGAAACACAGAGUCCGCUUGGAGCCUUGUGGACUUGAGGAAAGGCCCACGAUGAUUUGUCAAGUCACGGUUGGACACUAGAGUCUGGGCCACUGCAUAGGUCUGGGAGCCUUUGGGUAGUGACAAAUGACAGAGUAAGGUAGACAACACCUUACUCUAAGCUAAGCUGAGUGCUGAAAACAGAACCCAGGAAAUGCUCCCCCUCGAUACUAUGUAGAAGAGCAAAGAGAUUGGUGUAGACUAAGAGGAUUCAGAGAGCUGGGGGCUCACGCACGGAGGAGUCUUGGAAGUCAGUGAAGCUGUCUUCAGCAUCGGACUUGGCCAUUCAUUGUUUGCAGAGCACGUCCCACCUCAGAGCCCAGUUUAUCCUCACAAAGGCUCAGAUAACAGCAAGUCUGCUAAUUAACCCAAGAACUGAACCUUGAACCCGAGUGCUCUGACCAAAGCCAGGCUACUCUUUUUCUCUGUCCACCUUCUUGUCUGAAUAAGUUCUUCCUACAUCCUGUGACCUGCAGGGGCAGUGGAUUCUGUCACCCUUUUCAAGCAGGGAUACUUAAGUGGAAAACCUACACCUGGACAUCCGCUCACACAGCCUUUGGGUCAUAGAUGUUUUACCUUUUUGCUACUCUAAAUUCUCCUCGCCCAAGCCCUAGCUAUAGUCUCUCUCCAGCAUCCCAGAAGACUGUCGCUCUCUCUCACAUUUCCCUUUUCUAAAUCCCUGAGGCAAAUACAGUUCCGGGUGACCCCUUAAUGAGUCACGCUCUUGCGUAACCCUCUCCCUUGAAGGUAAGUCGAACCUGUGACUUGCUUCUGGGCAAAAAAAUAUGCCAAAGCUGACAGCUGUGUCACACCCAUGAUUCUGCUGUGUCAAGUAAUGAUGCUUCUUAGUACGACUGGUCCUGCUGGCUUUGUGGAAGGUUCAGAACUAUCUAGGAGGGCAGCCACAGGGGACUUCAGGGCCUGAGUGGCUCUUGGGGACAGGAAGAAAAUAGGUUCCACCAUCUUUUAUCCUCAUGAAAUUCUGCCAACAACAACAUGACACGUGGAAGAGGAUCCAAGCUCCACAAAGAAACAGUCCAGCAGUACCUCCAUUGUAGCCAUGUGAGAUCUGAGUAGAGAACCCAAACAAGCUGGUCCUGGAGAGACUCUUGACACUAAGCCCUCCAAUAUGAGGAAUAGCUGUUUUAAGCUGCUGGGUCUGAGGCAAUAAAAACAGCAAAAAUAAAUCAAUAUAACCCCUUACUUUAUUUACGGUCAACACAGCUCAGUUUAGAACAUGACAGCAAGUAUCUAGCUGGGCUUUAGCUGUCCAAGCUGAAUGCAAGCUUCUGGAAACCGGCAUACUAGUCACAUGGGGUUAAGAUACAUUUCUUCUUGCAGAAGAGCCAGCAUCCACGGAAUGUCCCACACGCAUCCAUAACUCCAGUUCCACAGUGUCACAUUCCCUCUUCUGACUUGAGGGCACCAGACACACAAGUAUGCACAGACACACCUGUAUGCAAAGCACUCGCACACAAAGGAAAGCAAAUUCCCAAGCAGUCACCUUCCUAGUGGCCUCCCCUGUCUCACCUGCCAAUGUGCUAAACCAACCAUCGACAACAAUAAACACAACUACCAUGGCUAGCUUAAACUCGUCAGGACUGUCUCCUGGGACUACGAGUAGGGCUAUCCCUGAAUUUAUAGCUUCCAUUGAAUACCAGACUCAAAUGAGAGUUCUGCAAAUACAAAAGGUGGGAGCAAGAAGCGAUAUAGAUGGGUGGGUUUCGAGAAGCUUCCACACAAUGCCACUUCAUCUCCAUGUAGAUACUUUUUUUAAAAAAAGAAUGCAGGGGCUGGGGAUUUAGCUCAGUGGUAGAGCGCUUACCUAAGAAUGCAGGGUACUCUUAAUUUUAUUUAUUUAUUUUUAUUGGUUCCUUUCUUUUCUUUCUCUUCCUUCCUUCCUUUCUUCCUUCCUUCCUUCCUUCCUUCCUUCCUUCCUUCCUUCCUUCCUUCCUUCCUUCCUUUCUUUCUUUCUUUCUUUCUCUUUUUUUUUUUUAAGCCCUGGCAGUCCCGGAACUUACUCUAUAGACGAGGCUGACCUCAAACCCAGAGAUCUGCCUGCCUCUGCCUGCUGAGUGUUGGGGUUAAAGUCAUUCAUUAAGUGGAAAUUUCUGGUUUCUUCGGCAACUCAGUUGUGUCAUGUGAUGUUUUUCGAAACUGUCUUAUGAGAGGAUGUUUUGCUGAGGCAGACACGUGGGAGGAUGUUUUGCGGAGAACAGACACAUGGUGUUUUUUUCUAGGAACUGCCUGGGAAAAGGUCAUGUGAUGUUUUGCUGGGGCUGACGAUUAGGAGAACAUGUGAUGUUUGGAAAGUUAUAAGUAUAACCCAACAGACAGUGGGUGAGGCCAUGGCAUUGACUCACCUCGGUGCUCUCUGCUGGUCUUUUUUGGGCUUUGCUGACUGACGAGGUAGCAUUGGUUUGCUUUGCCUUCUUUAAUGACCAUCAUUUGUUGUAACUUCACAGAGAGAAAUGUAGCAGAGACCUUCUGGUGGUGAUCUAGAGGGUUCUUGCUGCUUCUGUGAACUCGGGCCGAUUGGCAGAACCUCGUGGUUUCUUCUGGAUCAAACUGUCAUUGUGUGUUCAUGAAUGGUGUUUGCGAGUGAGUUGAGCUACCACUGCUGAUCGUGCGAACUGAACUGCUGAUAUCCUGACAAUGAAGAUUGGAAUCGCCCCCAAAGAAUUAUUUUUAAACAGGUUCGCAUCCUCCUUUGACCUAUUUAACCUUUCCUUUCUACUACCUCUGGUGGGUGGUGGGCUAGAAGGGAAGUUGAUGCAUUUAAGAACCCUUAUUAAAGUAAGUUUUGAAAAAUCUAAGCCUGUGCAUGUACCACACUGCCCAACUGUAGGGUACCCUUAUGAAAAAUAGUUUAAUUUUUUAAAAAAUGAAAUGCAUGCUCUAACAGGGUAAACCUUAAAGAUGACGCAGAAUGAAAUUAGCCAGUUAUAAAACACAAUCCAAGUUACAGUAUACAAAUCCAAGUUAUAGUAUUAUGUGAUUAUUUUUGUAUGUGGCGUGGACAGAAAGUGGAAUGGCAGUCACAAGCACUUGAGGAGAGAGGAACAGGAAGGAAUCUUAAGAGGUACAGAGUUUGGAGUGGGAAAGGUGAAAGAACUCCAGAGAUGGGUGGGGUGGGAUGGUUGCACGACACUGUAGAAGUAAUACCACAACCACACACUUAGAACUGGUUAAGCGGUAAGUUUUUUUGUUAUAUAUAACUUACCAUCAUGAGAGACUUUAUCAGAAGGCAGAGGCAGGUGGACCUCUGUGAGUUUGUGCUAGCCUGGACUACACCGCAUGAUUCAGGAUAACCUGGACGACAUAGAGAAAAUAGUGAAGAUACUUACAAUGCAAAGCAAAAGGAUUAUGCUAAGCUAGAAAACUGUUACUUCAUGGUUGUUUCUCAUGGCCCUCUAUGCUGAACUUCACCCACCCACAUUUACCUGUGAAUGGUAACCGUUUCCCAGCAUCAGCCAUUGCUUCUUCCCAGUCUUAUACCUUUGUACCAUCCUUCUCUCUUUCCUUGGCUCCUCAGUUAGGUUUCAUGGGCUUUUAAAUUUAUUUUUUUUAAAUAUAUUUACUGGUAUAGUUUCUCUGUGUAGACUGGCUAGCCUGGAACUCACUGUGCAGACCAGGUUGAUCUUGAACUCACAUUGAACCUACUGCUUCUGGCUCUUGAGUGCCAAGAUGUAGGGGUUCAAAUCCCCAGAAAGUGUGUUUAAUACUGGGUCCUCGCUUGGUGAAACUGCUUGGGAAGGAUUAAGGGGUAUUGUGUAGCUGGUCUUAGCCUCUGUGGGUCCUUCUUUCUUUCGUCCUUCUCCACCCUUCACUCCCUCACUCUAGAUAAGAGAGAAGAAAGGAUAGAGAGGAAAGAGAUCCUUGAAUCCUUAAAGUCAGGUGUCAGAAAGGGUAUGACGUUAUCGUUAGACGACUUCCUGCUGACUAGAAGCAUCGAGUUCCUUAGAGGGAGUUUGAGGUUCACAGUCAGGACACUUACUUUUUUCUUCUUGUUGUUUUUUCUUGCACAUGACCUACUAAACAAAUUGUGGCCAACAGCAACUAAUGCAACGCCAGCAGCCAACCAACAUCGAACCAUCAACCUACCGCCUCCCGGGGCCCUGGCAUUUAUCUACCCUCUGAAAAGUCCCCAGAAUUCCAAACGUCUCCCAGUCACAGAAGAUCUCUGAAGCUGGCAAAAUCACGCCCCUGCUAGAGCACGAGGCAAAGCUCGUAAGCCGGACAAUCUGAAGCAGCCCCACAUCCCACACCUGGGAUUAAAACAAAAAUACAUUCUUACAUUAUUUCUGUGCUUUUUUAAAGAAAUCAAAAUACCCAAACCAUCUUUACAGUACGGCCUUGUUCGGGGAGGUAAGUCACUGGGGAUAAGCCAUUCCCAGUUAGCUCGCUCUGUCUAGAGUUUGUGUCUUAAGAUGGGAGCUCUCAGGGUUGGGGAUUUAGCUCAGUGGUAGAGCGCUUGCCUAGGAAGCACAAGGCCCUGGGUUCAGUCCCCAGCUCCGGAAAAAAAGAACCAAAAAAAAAAAAAAAAAAAAAAAAAAGAUGGGAGCUCUCAGCUACUGCUCCAGCACCAUGCCCACCUACCUGCCGCCAUGCUCCCUGCCAUGAUGGUUAUCAGCUCUAACCCUUUGAAGGAGUAAGCCUCACAUAAAUUAUUUUAUGAGUUGCCUGUGGCAUGGUGUUCUGUCACAGCAGUAGAAAACCAACUGAGACAUACGGAUUACAAUUAUAGAUUUAUUUUAUUUUUACUUAUGUGUAUGUGUGGGGUCUCUAUGUGGAUGACUACAUGUGCCAAUAGAGGCCAGAGGCAUUAGAUUUUCCUAGAGCUAGAGUUCCAUGUGAUUGUAAAUGGCCAGGAAUUGAACCCAGGUCCUCUGGAAGAAUAGCCAGUGCUCUUAGCCAUUGAGCCAUCUCUCCAGCCCUAGGGUUGUUUAUUAAUGGCUUCAAAUUCUUUGGCUCAAGUCACCCUCCUAUCUAACUCUCCUAUCUAACUCUCCCAGUUGUUGGGAUUACAGGUGGGUGCUACCAUGCUCAGUUACAUUUCCAAAGUUGUUGUGACUAAAACUCAAUUCAGGAAGCUCCCUUAAAGAUUUUAAAUCAUCAUCAUCAACAACAACAACGACAACGACCCUAAAAGCACUGCCAGGGUUGUUGUUCGUAGAGUGGGGUCAACUGCCUUGUCUACUUCCAGUUCUCCUUGAAGGUCACCUGUUCAUUUAUUCCUUUGUUUCCUGUCCCCUUUCAACACCGCUGGCUCACCUUGUAUCUAUGCCAAGAGCCCUUGGGACAGGGAGGCAGAGAGGAAGUCUCCGAGCCACAGAGAAGCCCAGGCACAAAGCCUGGGUGGGUGUUGGCAGCUCUUGAAAAGUCUGUUUAAGGGGUUGGGGAUUUAGCUCAGUGGUAGAGCGCUUGCCUAGGAAGCAGAAGGCCCUGGGUUCGGUCCCCAGCUCUGAAAAAAAGAACCAAAAAAAAAAAAAAAAAAAAAGAAAGAAAA